UACAGAGGGUGCGAGCGUUAAUCGGAAUUACUGGGCGUAAAGCGCGCGUAGGCGGCUUUGCAAGCCGGAUGUGAAAUCCCCGGGCUUAACCUGGGAACUGCAUUCGGGACUGCAUUGCUAGAGUAUGGGAGAGGGAAGUGGAAUUUCAGGUGUAGCGGUGAAAUGCGUAGAUAUCAGGAGGAACACCGGUGGCGAAGGCGGUUCUCUGGGCAUUACCUGACGCUGAGGAGCGAAAGUGUGGGGAGCGAACAGG
rnacentral:rRNA from 1 species